rnacentral:rRNA from 1 species
UACGGGGGGGGGUAAGCGUUGUUCGGAAUUACUGGGCGUAAAGGGCUCGUAGGCGGCCAACUAAGUCAUACGUGAAAUCCCUCAGCUUAACUGGGGAACUGCGUGUGAUACUGGAUGGCUUGGAUUUGGGAGAGGGAUGCGGAAUUCCAGGUGUAGCGGUGAAAUGCGUAGAUACUCGGAGGAACACCGGUGGCGAAAGCGACUUCCUGGUCCAUUCCUGACGCUGAGGUACGAAAGCCAGGGGAGCAAACGGG